rnacentral:rRNA from 1 species
GACGAACGCUGGCGGCGUGCUUAACACAUGCAAGUCGAACGAAGAGCGAUGGAAGCUUGCUUCUAUCAAUCUUAGUGGCGAACGGGUGAGUAACGCGUAAUCAACCUGCCCUUCAGAGGGGGACAACAGUUGGAAACGACUGCUAAUACCGCAUACGAUCUAACCUCGGCAUCGAGGAAAGAUGAAAGGUGGCCUCUAUGUAUAAGCUAUCACUGAAGGAGGGGAGUGCGUCAGAUUAGCUAGAUGGAGGGGUAACGGCGCACCAAGGCGAGGAACAGUAGCCGGUCUGAGAGGAUGAACGGCCACAUUGGGACUGAGACACGGCCCAGACUGCUACGGGAGGCAGCAGUGGUGAAUCUUCCGCAAUGGACGAAAGUCUGACGGAGCAACGCCGCGUGAGUGAUGACGGCCGUCGGGUUGUAAAGCUCUGUUAAUCGGGACGAAAGGCCUUCUUGCGAAUAGUGAGAAGGAUUGACGGUACCGGAAUAGAAAGCCACGGCUAACUACGUG